UACGAAGGGUGCAAGCGUUACUCGGAAUUACUGGGCGUAAAGCGUGCGUAGGUGGUUUGUUAAGUCUGAUGUGAAAGCCCUGGGCUCAACCUGGGAAUUGCAUUGGAUACUGGCAGGCUGGAGUGCGGUAGGGAGGUAGUGGAAUUCCGUGUGAGCGGUGGAAUGCGCAGAUAUCAGGAGGAACACCGAUGGCGAAGGCAGAUCUCUGGGCCGUAACUGACGCUGAGGAGCGAAAGCGUGGGGAGCGAACAGG
rnacentral:rRNA from 1 species